UUUGGUAUGAAUCAGGACUCUUAGUGCAAGCAGUUUGAGAGCCGUGCAAAUGUAUCAGGGAAUAAUAGUGUUGAAAGUAAUGUUCAGAAGAAUAUUUCUUCUUCUGUUGAAGAUGUUGAUGCAGGACUUGGUCAGUCAGCUGCUGAAGCUGAGGAAGAUGCUAGGAUUGCUGAGGAAAAUGCACCUCAGAAUUCAGGAGAUGGUGAUCAUGCACCUGUGAAUGAUGGGUUUGUUCGUCCGCCAACCCCUCAAUGUCCUCCAGCUUUUGCUGGUGAUCAUGUUGAAGAUGCAGUUUUUGAUAAAUCACCUCCUUUAGCUGAGGUAAAUGAAAAGUGUGUUGAGAAGGAUGGUCUUCCAGAUGACAGUGAUGACAAUUCAUCUGUUGAUCGUUAUUAUGUCAAGCAUAAUUUUGUCCAUCCGGCAACCCCUGUAACUCCUCCUUUAGAUGACAGUGAUGGUAAUUCUGGUGGUGCCUGUGACAAAGUUGCUGAUCAUUAUUCUGAGUUAGACUCUGUUGGAAAGGGGAAUUUAUUUCCGGAGAUAGUUUCACAUUCUGAUGGAGACAAAGAUGCU